rnacentral:rRNA from 1 species
AGAACGAACGCUGGUGGCGUGUCUUAUACAUGCAAGUCGAGCGAGGCAGCAAUGCCGAGCGGCGAACGGGUGAGUAACGCGUAAGCAAUCUGCCCCGUAUCAGGAAAUACCCGUGCCAACGCGCGGUUAAUGUCCAGGAGAGUGGGAGCCUGCAUGGGCUCUUUGACUAGAGAUUUAUCGGUACGGGAUGAGCUUGCGUCCGAUUAGCUAGUUGGCGGGGCAACGGCCCACCAAGGCGACGAUCGGUAGCCGGCCUGAGAGGGUGAUCGGCCACAUUGGGACUGAGAUACGGCCCAGACUCCUACGGGAGGCAGCAGUAGGGAAUAUUGCUACAAUGGGGGAAACCCUGAUGCAGCAACGCCACGUGUGGGGAAAGAAGCAUUUCGGUGUGUAAACCACUGUCAUGAGGGAAUAAGGCCUGUCUUCGGGCAGGAUUGAAUGUACCUUGAGAGGAAGCACCGGCAAACUUCGUGCCAGCCGCUGC